rnacentral:rRNA from 1 species
GAUGAACGCUGGCGGCGUGCCUAAUACAUGCAAGUCGAGCGAACAGACGAGGAGCUUGCUCCUCUGACGUUAGCGGCGGACGGGUGAGUAACACGUGGAUCACCUACCUAUAAGACUGGGAUAAUUUCGGGAAACCGGAGCUUAUACCGGAUAAUAUAUUGAACCGCAUGGUUCAAUAGUGAAAGACGGUUUUGCUGUCACUUAUAGAUGGAUCCGCGCCGCAUUAGCUAGUUGGUACGGUAACGGCUUACCAAGGCAACGAGGCGUAGCCGACCUGAGAGGGUGGUCGGCCACACGGGAAGUGGAACAGGGUCCAGAGUCCUACGGGAGGCAGCAGUAGGGAAUCUGCCGCAAUGGGGGAGAGCCUGACGGAGCAACGCCGCGUGAGUGGUGAAGGUCUUCGGAUCGGGAAACUCUGUUAUUAGGGAAGAACAAAUGUGUAAGUAACUAUGCACGUCUUGACGGUACCUAAUCAGAAAGCCACGGCUAACUACGUG